rnacentral:rRNA from 2 species
GCGGCGCACGGGUGCGGAACACGUGUGCAACCUGCCUUUAUCUGGGGGAUAGCCUUUCGAAAGGAAGAUUAAUACCCCAUAAUAUAUUAGAUGGCAUCAUUUGAUAUUGAAAACUCCGGUGGAUAGAGAUGGGCACGCGCAAGAUUAGUUAGUUGGUGAGGUAACGGCUCACCAAGACGAUGAUCUUUAGGGGGCCUGAGAGGGUGAUCCCCCACACUGGUACUGAGACACGGACCAGACUCCUACGGGAGGCAGCAGUGAGGAAUAUUGGACAAUGGGUUAGCGCCUGAUCCAGCCAUCCCGCGUGAAGGACGACGGCCCUAUGGGUUGUAAACUUCUUUUGUAUAGGGAUAAACCUACUCUCGUGAGAGUAGCUGAAGGUACUAUACGAAUAAGCACCGGCUAA